GGUCGGUCAUGUUCCGAGGUAGGCGAAGGAGUCUCCAAAACUCCAUGAGGUUGGUUCGACUCCAACACCGUCCG
rnacentral:tRNA from 1 species